rnacentral:misc_RNA from 1 species
AUCAUUAAACGUUAUUAUAUUUCAGUACUUGAAAGGUUUUUGUUACAGAAUAACGCAUUUUUCUUUAAAUUAUAAUAUGCUGCACGUUGUAAUUGUUCUUUUUCUGUUCCACGUUCUUAUCGCUUUUUCCUCUCGCAUUAGCUCACGGGUAUUUCUGUCUGAUAUUUAAUGUGUCCGAUUACGGGAACAGCUGUCAGAUAAUCUUUUAAAGUUAUAAUUACACUUUACGAAAUCAUUUACGUAUUUUUUUUUAUGAUUAACGUUUUAUAAGAAAUAAAGUGUAGUUAUGUAGAGGCAUGGCAAUGAAGGAAUUUCAUAACCUGUUUGACAAGUUUCUCAUAUUAUCAAGGUGGUUUGUGUAUUACCACAAAUAUAUUUUCACGAAUUAUGGCUUAGAUAACUUAUUGACUUUAUGCUCUGAGAUCAUUGUUUAUGGUCUUGUCGGAUUUUUUCAGGUGAUAUUUGCAAUUCAUUUAGUCCUAGUAACAUGGGGUAUUCAGGGACACUGGUGUCCAAAAUCGGUAAUGUUUUAUAAUUUUCUUUUCUUCAUUUGCUUGUUGUGGGCUAUUCACAAUAUCGAAUCGGAUGAACCGCUACAAUUUGCACUAUUUAUAAAUGUACUUUCCAUAUUUUUUGACGUUGUAACACUAGCAGUCUACUUUCCACCAACAUAUGCAUCCGAGAAGUUUAGCGCGGCGAUUAUGAUUAUAAACAUGAUCGUGCGCAUUAUCACGAGCAUAUAUAUUCUUCGAAUAGGCCAAGCAAGAGGCGGAUGUUUAGCCACAAUGUUUGCUACGAAUCCUGCGAUGGGUCAGUAAAGCAUCGGAUACAGAUUCGUGUUUCGUAGAGCUGCAUUGCUUCUUCCAGGUUUUGCUUUGUGCUUUGGCCGACAGGAUUACGAGGACAUAUCUCACCCGAUUGCACAAAAUUCCGAUUUUCUUGGAGUUUAAAAUAAUAACGUGACGUUCUU